GAUGAACGCUGGCGGCGUGCCUAAUACAUGCAAGUCGAGCGAACAGACGAGGAGCUUGCUCCUCUGACGUUAGCGGCGGACGGGUGAGUAACACGUGGAUAACCUACCUAUAAGACUGGGAUAACUUCGGGAAACCGGAGCUAAUACCGGAUAACAUAUUGAACCGCAUGGUUCAACAGUGAAAGACGGUCUUGCUGUCACUUAUAGAUGGAUCCGCGCCGCAUUAGCUAGUUGGUAAGGUAACGGCUUACCAAGGCAACGAUGCGUAGCCGACCUGAGAGGGUGAUCGGCCACACUGGAACUGAGACACGGUCCAGACUCCUACGGGAGGCAGCAGUAGGGAAUCUUCCGCAAUGGGCGAAAGCCUGACGGAGCAACGCCGCGUGAGUGAUGAAGGUCUUCGGAUCGUAAAACUCUGUUAUUAGGGAAGAACAAAUGUGUAAGUAACUAUGCACGUCUUGACGGUACCUAAUCAGAAAGCCACGGCUAACUACGUG
rnacentral:rRNA from 1 species